rnacentral:rRNA from 1 species
CCUACGGGUGGCAGCAGUGAGGAAUAUUGGUCAAUGGUCGGAAGACUGAACCAGCCAAGUAGCGUGCAGGAUGACGGCCCUACGGGUUGUAAACUGCUUUUAUACGGGAAUAACGCGCCUUACGUGUAGGGCUUUGCAGGUACCGUAUGAAUAAGGACCGGCUAAUUCCGUUCCAGCAGCCGCGGUAAUACGGAAGGUCCGGGCGUUAUCCGGAUUUAUUGGGUUUAAAGGGAGCGUAGGCCGCAUGUCAAGCGUGCUGUGAAAUGUCCGGGCUCAACCGGGGCACUGCAGCGCGAACUGGCGUGCUUGAGUGCGCGGAACGCAUGCGGAAUUCGUCGUGUAGCGGUGAAAUGCGUAGAUAUGACGAAGAACCCCGAUUGCGAAGGCAGCUUGCUGCAGCGGAACUGACGCUGAUGCUCGAAAGCGCGGGUAUCGAACAGGAUUAGAUACCCGGGUAGUC